GACGUAGGAUGCAAGCGUUGUCCGGAAUUAUUGGGCGUAAAGAGUUCGUAGGUGGUAUGUGAAGUCUGGUGUUAAAUCCCGAAGCUCAACUUCGGAUCAGCACUGGAUACUGGCAAACUAGAGUGCAGUAGAGGCAAGGGGAAUUCCUAGUGUAGCGGUGAAAUGCGUAGAUAUUAGGAGGAACACCGGUGGCGUAAGCGCCUUGCUGGGCUGUAACUGACGCUGAGGAACGAAAGCCAGGGGAGCAAAUGGG
rnacentral:rRNA from 1 species